rnacentral:rRNA from 1 species
GACGAACGCUGGCGGCGUGCCUAAUACAUGCAAGUCGAGCGAGCGGCGGACGGGUGAGUAAUGUAUGGGGACUGCCCGCUAGAGGGGGAUAACUACUGGAAACGGUGGCUAAUACCGCAUACUCUCGGAUAACCCAUAUGGGAUUAUCUAUUAGGUGGGGUAAAGGCUCACCUAGGCGACGAUCUCUAGCUGGUCUGAGAGGAUGAUCGGCCACACUGGGACUGAGAAACGGCCAAGACUCCUACGGGGGCAGCAGUGGGGAAUAUUGCACAAUGGGCGCAAUCCUGAUGCAGCAAUGCCGCGUGGAUGAAGAAGGCUUUAGGGUUGUAAAGUACUUUAAGCGGGGAGGCGGUACCCGCAGAGGAAGCAACGGCUAACUCCGUGCCAGCAGCCGCGGUAAUUC